rnacentral:rRNA from 1 species
CGCUUUCACUCCUACGGGAGGCAGCAGUGGGGAAUAUUGCACAAUGGGGGAAACCCUGAUGCAGCCAUGCCGCGUUGUGUGAAGAAGGUCCUUCGGGUUGUAAAGCACUUUUCAGUAGGGAGGAAGGUAGUGUAGUUAACACCUGCAUUAUUUGACGUUACCUACAGAAGAAGCACCGGCUAACUCCGUGCCAGCAGCCGCGGUAAUACGGAGGGUGCGAGCGUUAAUCGGAAUUACUGGGCGUUAAAGCGCAUGCAGGCGGCCUGUUAAGUCAGAUGUGAAAGCCCGGGGCUUAACCUCGGAAUUGCAUUUGAAACUGGCAGGCUAGAGUCUUGUAGAGGGGGUAGAAUUUCAGGUGUAGCGGUGAAAUGCGUAGAGAUCUGAAGGAAUACCAGUGGCGAAGGCGGCCCCCUGGACAAAGACUGACGCUCAGAUGCGAAAGCGUGGGGAGCAAACAGGAUUAGAUACCCUGGUAG